rnacentral:rRNA from 1 species
AGUCACUGACAUUAGAUACCCCUGUAGUCCCAGCCGUAAACUAUGCGCGUUAGGUGUAUCGGUGACCACGAGUUACCGAGGUGCCGAAGGGAAACCGUGAAACGUGCCGCCUGGGAAGUACGGUCGCAAGGCUGAAACUUAAAGGAAUUGGCGGGGGAGCACCGCAACGGGAGGAGCGUGCGGUUUAAUUGGAUUCAACACCGUAAACUCACCAGGGAAGACUGUUACAUGAAGGCCGAGAUGAAGACUCUGCUAGAUUUUCAG